rnacentral:rRNA from 1 species
UGGCGGCAGUAGCGCGGUGGUCCCACCUGACCCCAUGCCGAACUCAGAAGUGAAACGCCGUAGCGCCGAUGGUAGUGUGGGGUCUCCGUAGGGAA